GACGAACGCUGGCGGCGUGCUUAACACAUGCAAGUCGAACGGAAAGGCCUGCUUUCCCUUGUGGUUUGCGGGUACUCGAGUGGCUAACGGGUGAGUAACUCGUGAGUGAUCUGCCCCCAACUUGGGUAUAAGCCUGGGAAACUGGGUCUAAUUCCCGAUAGGACUGCAGGGUGCUUCCUGUGGUGGACUACGAUUUUCUAGUGGUUGGGGAUGAGCUCGCGGCCUAUCAGCUUGUUGGUGGGGUAAUGGCCUACCAAGGCGGCGACGGGUAGCCGGCCUGAGAGCGGGGACGGUGACACUGGGACUGGGUUACGGCCCAGACGGGUGCGAGCGGCAGGGAAUGGGAAUAAUGGAGCGAGAGCGGGAGCCUGAUGCGGCGAGGGCGUGUGGGGGAUGUCGGGAUUGUAGUGGUAAACUCCUUGCGAGCGCGAGGAAGACACUUGGUUGGAAGGGUGGUGACGGUAGUGGUGGAAGAAGCACCGGCUAACUACGUG
rnacentral:rRNA from 1 species